rnacentral:rRNA from 1 species
CAGCCGUAAACUAUGCGCGUUAGGUGUACUGGUGACCACGAGUCACCGGGGUGCCGAAGGGUAACCGUGAAACGUGCCGCCUGGGAAGUACGGUCGCAAGGCUGAAACUUAAAGGAAUUGGCGGGGGGAGCACCACAACGGGUGGAGCCUGCGGUUUAAUUGGACUCAACGCCGGAAAUCUCACCGGAUAGGACAGACAUAUGAUAGUCGGGCUGAAGACUCUACUUGAUGAUCUGAGAGGUGGUGCAUGGCGUCAGUGACU